rnacentral:rRNA from 1 species
GAUGAACGCUGGCGGCGUGCCUAAUACAUGCAAGUAGAACGCUGAAGGAGGAGCUUGCUCUUCUGGAUGAGUUGCGCACGGGUGAGUAACGCGUAGGUAACCUGCCUGGUAGCGGGGGAUAACUCUUGGAAACGAUAGCUAAUACCGCAUGACAACAGUUAUUGCAUGAUAACUGUUUAAAAGGGGCAACUGCUCCACUACCAGAUGGACCUGCGUUGUAUUAGCUAGUUGGUGAGGUAACGGCUCACCAAGGCGACGAUACAUAGCCGGCCUGAGAGGGUGAUCGGCCACACCGGGAAUGAGACACGGCCCAGACUCCUACGGGAGGGAGCAGUAGGGAAUCUUCGGCAAUUGACGGAAGGCUGACCGAGCAACGCCGCGUGAGUGAAGAAGGGUUUCGGAUCGUAAAGCUCUGUUGUAAGGGAAGAAAGAGUGUGAGAGUGGAAAGUUCACACUGUGACGGUAUCUAACCAGAAAGAGACGGCUAACUACGUG